rnacentral:lncRNA from 1 species
UUAUUCUCUGGAGAGGGAAGCGGGACCAGGAGGACUCUGUUUCAGCUCAUUGUGCUUCUUGGCCACAGUGAUGCAAGUGCUUGUAAUCUACUCCCUCCGUUCCUAAAUAGAUGACUCAACUUUGUACUAACUUUAGUAUAAAGUUGAGUCAUCUAUUUUGGAACGGAGGGAGUACAACCCUAUACUCAGAGUAGCAGCUAGCUGAAGCAGGCCUGCUUUUUGGGUUACUUCUGUGAGUUGCAUGAGAUGUGUUCACUGGAGUAUAAGGAUCUGCAGUCUACAAGAAAUGGUCUAAUUGUUUGUCAGCAUUUCUUGGCUGCUGUUUGAAGUAAUUUUAUCUUGAGAGCAUGUGGACCUUACAACCAGAAAGUGGGUUUCUUUCUGGGUGAAGAGAAAGACAAUUUCUAAGAGCAUCUCCAGCAGCCGCGCUGGAAAAAUACAGAUUUUUGCGCGCGCAGCCGCUCCGGGCGCUCCAGCGGAGGGCGAGACGGCAUCGCGCGCCGCUUAUUUCG